rnacentral:rRNA from 1 species
UACGGGGGGGGCAAGCGUUGUUCGGAAUUACUGGGCGUAAAGGGCUCGUAGGUGGCCAACUAAGUCAGACGUGAAAUCCCUCAGCUUAACUCGGGAACUGCGUCCGAUACUGGCGGGCUUGAAUCCGGGAGAGGGAUGCGGAAUUCCGAGGUGUAGCGGUGAAAUGCGUAGAUAUCUGGAGGAACACCGGUGGCGAAGGCGGCAUCCUGGACCGGCAUUGACGCUGAGGCGCGAA